GAAAUCGAGGACGUGAGGAAGGGCAGGCGAACCGCGAAGGAGCUUGCCCGAACCUGCACAGCUCAGUAUCCAUGUUCAAUUCCCACAAAUGCUAGCCCACCAGAUGACUUGUUGACUAAUGCACGCCUAAAGAAAAAGGAGGUCGAAACAAAAACUUCAAAACGAAAAAGAACUUGGCUCGAUAAGAAGCACAAGAUAAGGAAAAAGAGAGAAAAGAUAGAAGAGGUUGGGGAAGUGGCCUGUAGUGGUAGUGCACAAGCACAUGUACAAGGAAAAGUGGCAAAUGAUAGUGUUCAUGAAGUUCAAAAUGCCAAUCUUAGCUUCACUCAAUUAUUAACGGGACCAAUCACAGAUGACUUUAUUACUGGGUUAUGGUGAAAUAGUCUGUCUUUUGCUAGAUGUCAUGGAAAUGUGUGACUUAGUACUUGCUAGCAC